UACGGGGGGGGCAAGCGUUGUUCGGAAUUACUGGGCGUAAAGGGCUCGUAGGCGGCCAACUAAGCCCGCCGUGAAAUCCCAAGGCUUAACCUUGGAACUGCGUCGGAUACUGGAUGGCUUGAAUUCGGGAGAGGGAUGCAGAAUUCCAGGUGUAGCGGUGAAAUGCGUAGAUAUCUGGAGGAAUACCGGUGGCGAAGGCGGCAUCCUGGACCGACAUUGACGCUGAUGAGCGAAAGCUAGGGGAGCAAACGGG
rnacentral:rRNA from 1 species